ACUAGAACAGCUUCUGCCUGUUAAAUCAGUUUCUGGAUCACAGGUCUAGAACAGCUUCUAUCCCAGUUCUAUCUGCCUGUUAAAUCAGUUUCUGUAUCACAGGUUCUAGAACAGCUUCUAUCCCACUUCUAUCUGCCUGUUAAAUCAGUUUCUGGAUCACAGGUUCUAGAACAGCUUCUAUCCCAUCUAUCUGCCUGUUAAAUCAGUUUCUGGAUCACAGGUUCUAGAACAGCUUCUAUCCCAUUCUAUCUGCCUGUUAAAUCAGUUUCUGGAUCACAGGUUCUAGAACAGCUUCUAUCCCAGUUCUAUCUGCCUGUUAAAUCAGUUUCUGGACCACAGGUUCUAGAACAGCUUCUAUCCCAGUUCUAUCUGCCUG